UGGGGAAUAUUGCACAAUGGGCGCAAGCCUGAUGCAGCCAUGCCGCGUGUGUGAAGAAGGCCUUCGGGUUGUAAAGCACUUUCAGCGGGGAGGAAGGCGUUAAGGUUAAUAACCUUGGCGAUUGACGUUACCCACAGAAGAAUCACCGGCUAACUCCGUGCCAGCAGCCGCGGUAAUACGGAGGGUGCAAGCGUUAAUCGGAAUUACUGGGCGUAAAGCGCACGCAGGCGGUCUGUCAAGUCGGAUGUGAAAUCCCCGGGCUCAACCUGGGAACUGCAUUCGAAACUGGCAGGCUAGAGUCUUGUAGAGGGGGGUAGAAUUCCAGGUGUAGCGGUGAAAUGCGUAGAGAUCUGGAGGAAUACCGGUGGCGAAGGCGGCCCCCUGGACAAAGACUGACGCUCAGGUGCGAAAGCGUGGGGAGCAAACAGG
rnacentral:rRNA from 1 species